AAGCGGUACGCGAGCUGGGUUCAGAACGUCGUGAGACAGUUCGGUCCCUAUCUGCCGUGGGCGCUGGAGAAUUGAGAGGAGUCGUCCCUAGUACGAGAGGACCGGGACGAACAGACCUCUGGUGUAUCAGUUGUCCUGCCAAGGGCACUGCUGGUUAGCUACGUCUGGAUGGGAUAACCGCUGAAAGCAUCUAAGCGGGAAGCCCACCUCGAGAUGAGUUCUCCCAUCCCCUCGAGGGAGUAAGAGCCCUGGAAGACCACCAGGUUGAUAGGCCGGUCGUGUAAGCGCAGCAAUGCGCUCAGCGAACCGGUACUAAUGCUUCGAGGGCUUGACGGA
rnacentral:rRNA from 1 species